GGUGAACGCUGGCGGUAGGCCUAACACAUGCAAGUCGAACGGCAGCACAGGAGAGCUUGCUCUCUGGGUGGCGAGUGGCGGACGGGUGAGGAAUACAUCGGAAUCUACUCUGUCGUGGGGGAUAACGUAGGGAAACUUACGCUAAUACCGCAUACGACCUACGGGUGAAAGCAGGGGAUCUUCGGACCUUGCGCGAUUGAAUGAGCCGAUGUCGGAUUAGCUAGUUGGCGGGGUAAAGGCCCACCAAGGCGACGAUCCGUAGCUGGUCUGAGAGGAUGAUCAGCCACACUGGAACUGGGACACGGUCCAGACUCCUACGGGAGGCAGCAGUGGGGAAUAUUGGACAAUGGGCGCAAGCCUGAUCCAGCCAUACCGCGUGGGUGAAGAAGGCCUUCGGGUUGUAAAGCCCUUUUGUUGGGAAAGAAGUCCAGCUGGCUAAUACCCGGUUGGGAUGACGGUACCCAAAGAAUAAGCACCGGCUAACUUCGUGCCAGCCGCCGCCGUAA
rnacentral:rRNA from 1 species